rnacentral:lncRNA from 1 species
AGAACACUUCCCUAUCCUUAUCAUGCAUCUCCUUGGGUUUGUGGGUUUCUAGAAGCCCUAUCCCUUCAUUUCCUAUCCUUGUUGCACAAGAAAACCAAUCCCUUUCAGAUUUAGGACCUUUGCCGCACCAAUUUCAGCAAGGAAACCCUUUUUCCUUGCCUUCCAAGGCAUUCUAGAAGCCUUAUCCUUCCUUUCCAUAUCUGCCGCACCUUUCAAGCCUUUUUCCCUUUGGAUUUUGAUUGUUUGGGCCCUAAUCCUUAUUUUCUGCUAAGUCCAAGUCCUAACUUGAUUUCCCUAGGGUUUUAUGUGCCUUUAUAUACUCAUAUUUCAUCUUUGGCCGAACCAACACCUCCCAUAUACAUCAUUCACGCCAGAAACACUUUUCCCCUUCUUUGCUGUAGCCAUCACCACCAAUUCUCCAUAGUUCCUGACAAAAAUCACCCCUUGCCGCACCUUCCAUCCAUCAUAAACACUACCAUACCAUCUCCCAUCCAUUCUUCCAUACACAUAACCCCCAAAACCCGUCCCCAAGCCUUGUGCCGUAACAAAGAGAAAUGAGGAAAAUCAUGUAUGUGCUUGUUGUUCAAGUUGGAGCGUCUAGGUGUUUUCUUUCUUUUGUUUUCAAUGUCUAAAUUUGUUUAUCUUUGCUUUGUGCGUAUGAGGAACUAAUCCCCACUUGGCUAAGGGGGGAAUUCGAAACCAUGUUCAUGCUUGCUAUAUGAUUUGAUUACCUUCAGUUGUGUUUCAUAAGUUGUGAAUUCAAUUUGCUUAUCCAUAUGAAUUAAAACUGAUUUGUGUGUGUUGGUUGAGAGUGCACGCUUAAUUUUCAUGCAUAAAUUUGAUGCUAGGAUAUAAGGGAGUUUCACCUAAUCGUUAUGAAUUUAUAUUCAAGAGUAGUAAAGGUUGCUAAUCACAAUCGCGUUAAGUAAAUUCUUGGUAUAAGUUUCAUGCAAUUCAUAGUAACAAGUGCCUUGUCAAUGCUUAUGAUUUUCAUAGAACUUAAUGAUCUUUGCUUGUAUCUCUAUUAUGCAAUUCAUGAAGGAAAUUUUGUGAAAAACAUGUUCAUUUGAGCAACAUCUAUAGCAUGCAGUUAACAAAUUAAAGGCGGAAUCAUGCUUGCAUGCACUCAAAAACAAAACAUUACCCAUGAAAUUCAAAGCCUAGUAGAUUGGUGAACCUUGACUCAACUCAAAACAACAUUUGUUAGUUGAGAAAUUAUACCUUUGUAGAUUCCUCUUUGCAUAAGCAAAGGCUAAUCAC